rnacentral:rRNA from 1 species
AGCAGUAGCCGCGGUAAUACGGAGGGUGCAAGCGUUAAUCGGAAUUACUGGGCGUAAAGCGCACGCAGGCGGUCUGACAAGUCAGAUGUGAAAUCCCCGGGCUUAACCUGGGAACUGCAUUUGAAACUGUCAGGCUGGAGUCUUGUAGAGGGGGGUAAAAUUCCAGGUGUAGCGGUGAAAUGCGUAGAGAUCUGGAGGAAUACCGGUGGCGAAGGCGGCCCCCUGGACAAAGACUGACGCUCAGGUGCGAAAGCGUGGGGAGCAAACAGGAUUAGAUACCCGGGUAGUCCCUGUCUCUUAUAC